UUUAACUUGGCAGAAUCAUAUGCCCCUAACUUAGAAUUAGGUAACGAGGGUCCCCUUCAGUUGAGG
rnacentral:tRNA from 1 species